rnacentral:rRNA from 1 species
GCAGCCGCGGUAAUUCCAGCUCCAAUAGCGUAUAUUAAAGUUGUUGCAGUUAAAAAGCUCGUAGUUGAAUUUCGGGAUCAACACCAUCGGUCGUGCCUCCGGUGCGCACUGGGGUCGUUGGUUCCUCCCUUCUGAGGAGCCAUGAUGCCAUUAACUUGGUGUGGUGGGGAAUCAGGACUGUUACCUUGAAAAAAUUAGAGUGUUUAAAGCAGGCAGUCGCUUGAAUACAUUAGCAUGGAAUAAUGAAAUAGGACGUUCGAACCUAUUUUGUUGGUUUCUAGGAUCAACGUAAUGAUUAAUAGGGAUAGUUGGG